UACUGUAGGAGGACUUUUUGUGUGUAAAUCCAGCACCUAAUUCCGCACGCCCACUUACGGUGGGGCAUCAGCCAAGAACCGCGCUUCCCGCGGCUGGUUUUCCCACAAUAAGCUGGGACUGGGAACCCAUCUCUCCCAGGCAACAGCCACUUCCUGGCUCCAGUUAAGAAGCCAGAAAGAGAAACCACAGAAACCUAAAGGACAGGAGAGGACGCCUCCAGUCUAGUUCUAAGCUCCACCAUGGCCCCUGUCAAAGGCUCUCCUACAUAGUCCUGCUGCCCUGCUCUUCUUCCACUCCACCUACUCAGAGCUGUCCUUUCCAUCUCACAGCAAGUGACUCUCUUAAGUUCAAGUUGGUGCCACCAACAGAUGACAUCUUUCUUCAGGUCGCUUCUUACAGUCCAUGUCAGUAUUACUCCCACCGCCAUUCCAAGGUCUCAAGUUAGGCUCUCAGACUAAAAUUCCUGCUCCGUUUUCAAGUCCUGGGGAUUGAACUCAAGGCCUACCACAUGCUAGGCAAGAGCUCUACCACUGAACUACAUCUCCAAAUGUGUUGGUUUUGAAACAGGGUAUCACUAAAUUGCUGAGGCUGGUCUUGAACUUGUGAUCCUCCUACCUCAACUGUGAUUACACCAUACCCAGCUCCUGAAGUCUGUCCUUCUAAAUUCUCAGUAUGCUCCAGUCCAGGAGACUAUGGAUUAGUGAAAAGUCUGUUUUGCAUUUUCACACAGUAGGUUGAUCUCCUCCCCAACGCUAAAGUACUUCUCACUCUACCCUUCAAGAUAUCGGAACUGAACACUCAAUUUUGAAGUAUUGUGGGUGCCGGAAAAGAGUCACACACAAUAAAAAUUAAAAAAUCUACCCAAGUCCAAAUGGCAUGAACUAGCUACACACAAAGAGAGAAGAGGCCCCUGUGGAUUGAGGAUUAUUAAAUAUGAAGCAUGUUUGUCAGGAAAAAACUUUGUUUAUAUAAACAUUAGAAGCGCCUCCAUGGUAACUCUGCUUGGUUUACUCGGCAGCCCAGUAUGGCCUCACAGCCAAAUUACUGCCUGCUUUUUCACUGCCUGCCUACAUUUUUUAAAAAACAUCUCUAGCCAAAAUUCCAUGAUCUGCCUGCUUGGUUUCCAAGCUCAGAAAAUAUCAUUUAAAAGUACCAGGGAACCAAAAGAAACUUCUGCCAAAGCUUCUAAAUGAAAGCUCAUUUCACACACACACACACACACACACACACACACACACACACACACACGUUUUUGCCAAACUACAGUAUGCUUUUCUUUUUUAAUGUGACCCAAGUUUCCUUAGGCCUCAUAAGGUUGCAGGGCCAAUAAAAUAACAUUAACAUAUGAGCAAUGGUAACUCAUAUUCCAUUCGUUCUAGGUUUUUCUCCCACCUGCUCAGAAAAGCUGUGAGCCUCUUAGAAGUGCUCCUGAGUAGUUUAGGGGUGUGCUUAGAUGCAGCCUACUAUAUCCACUGCCAGUGACAGCAAGGCCUAGCUCAGAAGAGAUGUCCACUGGCUUCCCCCAUCACCUCCAAGCUCUCCCUACCAGUCAGGGCAUUUGGUUUGUGUGAGGCAUUUGGUAUGUGAAGAACACCUCUCUAUCCUUUGUGUCACAUUCAAUUAACAUAUCCCAAACCAAGCUGUGGUGCCUCCUAUCUUAUUGGCUUUUUCACUAGGAGAUCUCAGUUUCCUCACAUGCCCCUGCCCUAUAAAGAAACCAGCCAUGAAUUCAAGGGCUAGUCCAGGUGCUGGCUCGACUCCAGAUUGCACUUCCCGUCAGUAACUAAGGGUCAAUGUGUCAUGUCUGCCCCUUAGGAAGCCAUUCAUGCCCUCACCCAAGGAACCUUCUGGUUAGCCUAGCUGCCUCAUUCAGUUAAGUCUGUACCCACUUAUCCCCAGUCGGAGAUUCUUUGUCCAUGAGAAGAGAGAGACCACUAGAGAAAGCAACAGCGACAGCCACCCUCUCUGUGUGGCCGUCUGAGGCAGCUGAGAAGACCUGGGACUAAGCACUGGGGGGAAAGGAUUGCUCCACUCCAAGGGAAAAGCAAAUUGACAUCAGAUUAUUUUCCUACAGCUUUUCCCACUUCUUAAUAUUUGCCACAUUGUAUUCCACAUUCCAAUUUUCAAAAGGACAGGAGCAUUAAUAAUAUAAAAGAAAGAAGUGAAAUUAACUGGAAUCAAGAACUUUAUUAUUUUCAAGUGUAAAAAAGCAUGAGAUAUAUGGCUGAGCAUCAAGUAUAGCUUUGACCUGAAAUGUUCUCUUAGAGAUACCAGGGGAACAGCCUGGCUUAGAAACAGACCCGCAGGGAUACUGUGACACUUCAAUAAAUCAAAUUAAAGUUAUUUAUUAAGUUGGGUCGGA